rnacentral:rRNA from 1 species
CCAGAGAACUUAGCAGNGAUGCUUUGGUGCCUUCGGGAACUCUGAGACAGGUGCUGCAUGGCUGUCGUCAGCUCGUGUUGUGAAAUGUUGGGUUAAGUCCCGCAACGAGCGCAACCCUUAUCCUUUGUUGCCAGCGGCUCGGCCGGGAACUCAAAGGAGACUGCCGGUGAUAAACCGGAGGAAGGUGGGGAUGACGUCAAGUCAUCAUGGCCCUUACGGCCAGGGCUACACACGUGCUACAAUGGCGCAUACAAAGAGAAGCGACCUCGCGAGAGCAAGCGGACCUCAUAAAGUGCGUCGUAGUCCGGAUUGGAGUCUGCAACUCGACUCCAUGAAGUCGGAAUCGCUAGUAAUCGUAGAUCAGAAUGCUACGGUGAAUACGUUCCCGGGCCUUGUACACACCGCCCGUCACACCAUGGGAGUGGGUUGCAAAAGAAGUAGGUAGCUUAACCUUCGGGAGGGCGCUUACCACUUUGUGAUUCAUGACUGGGGUGAAGUCGUAACAAGGUAAGCGUAGCGAG